rnacentral:rRNA from 1 species
UACGUAGGGGGCUAGCGUUGUCCGGAAUCAUUGGGCGUAAAGCGCGCGUAGGCGGCCAGAUAAGUCCGGUGUGAAAGUCACAGGCUCAACCUGUGAAUGCCGCUGGAAACUGUCUGGCUAGAGUCCGGAAGGGCGAGUGGAAGUUCCUGGUGUAGCGGUGAAAUGCGCAGAUAUCAGGAGGAACACCAAUGGCGAAGGCAGCUCGCUGGGACGUGACUGACGCUGAGACGCGAAAGCGUGGGGAGCAAACAGG